AUACUGUUGAUCCAUUGGGUAGACAGGUUCCAGUUUUGUUUCAUCAUUCCACAUCCCCAAAACUUCUGUGGCUUAUUUAAAUAAUUUUGUAGCCAACUUUUUUUGUGCUUUUGGGUCAUUAGUGGUCUACAUCUUUGAGUUCUGGCAUGGAAAGAUCCUGCAUCGCCUUACUGUGCUCACUGAAACCUCAUUGCCUGUUGCUACCAAGUCUUGCUGCAGGUCUUCUGCAGUCACUCGAGUACUUUUCAUAACCUGCCUUCUCAGAAAUCUGGUUGCAGGCAUUGAUAGCUCCCUUUUUCUGCCCUGUCCUGAUAGGGUAACCACUGUUUCUUCAACUUUGAACUUGGGAACUAUGCUCCAACGGUGUCUCUAUAAACAUUCAGUGCCUACUCUAUCUUUU